CCAUGGUCCAUUACAUCAUCCUCUAUGGCCUAUGCCGGAAGUGGUGGAUAUCGGGGAUCCGAUGACGAAAGUCAUGGUGGGUACGGUGGAGAAUAGGUUAUUUAAGCCGCUUAAUGAGAUUAUGAGGAGGCAAUUGGAUCCCAUUUGGCAUAGCUUGGGGAAGAAGACCAAACAGCUUGUUUCCAACUUGGAAGACUCCCUGAGGAAACUCCUGGAUUACCUUGAACGGUAAAAUGCAGUUACUUAAACGAGUAUGCAAAGGGAAGCGUUUAUCUGAUUGUCUACCACAUUUAGUGGGAUGAGUAAGAGGUCUAUGGGCAAAAAGAGGGAACUAAAGGGGGAUAAUGAUAAGAUAGAAGAGGUAAAAAUAAAGCAAGCUGGCAGAUAAGAGCUCCUGGUAGGUGAAGAGGAUGACAGUUGCAUCUCUUGUGCCGUGAAAAAUGCAUGACAAAUGGUCUACAAAUGGUUUGAUGUUACGUGUUUGGUUCACUUUGUUUAGCAUCAGUGCCAUUUAUCUAUUUACUCUGUCAUGCAAAUGUGCUUGUUUUGUCAUUAUUACUUUUAUAUAUCCUAGUCUGCACCCAAUUGAACCAAAUCACAUACCUUGGCUGCUUGUAGUGCAUUGCGCGCUCUGCUAUUUAUAACUGAGAACUAGUUAGAAUGGUUUAAUCUGAUUUUACAGCAGAACCAUGGCCAUUUUGUUGUCUAUGGCUCCCUUUUCUUUUUUAAUGAAUCAUUUUGUAAGUAGAAUUUAGAAGUUGUUAACUAUAUGACCGUACGUAAUAUCUACGAAAACUUUAAGCAUUUAGGCAAGGAUUGGCUGGCAUUUGAUAUAAACUUAGAUGAAGAAUAAACUUGAGUCAGUUUUUUUUUUUUUUUUUUUGUUUUAUGAAGGUCAUGCGAGAAGAAUGAGAAAAGUACUUACUCAGAAAAGUAAACCUGUGUGACUUACAAACACAUUAUGAAAAGAAACCAAAGGAUCCCAAAGGUUUUGGGAUUCUUGAUGGAGUAUUCUAAUAAGCGCUUGAAAAGAAUGUAGAACCUAGUAGCAUAAACAAGCAAGAACAUGGUGCACUAGUGGCAGCUGCAUCAGAAAUUAGUUAUCGAGUUAAAAAAGAUGAUGUUGUUGGAGAUGAUCCUCAGCCCUAUGCUAGUCUUAAAGUUACAAAUUAUUGAUAGAGCUACACACAAACCAAAAAAAAAAAAAAAAAAAAAAAAAAAAAGAAUAAAUAAAUAAA